CUGCUGGUUGAAUAUAUUUCUUUGUCUGCUGUUUUCUUCAACAGCUAAAGUAUACAGCUCUGGCAUUUUGUUAAUAUGACUCCUAGUUUAGGUAGGCAAAUUAAAAGCAAAAGUGACAUCCAGAGUCUGUUGAAGUUAAUGGCAAAAUUCCCACUGAUUUUCAGUAGUCCCUGGAUUUUACUACAAGUGCUUCUUUUUCUAACUCGUGUUGCUACCUUCCAUUUUGUCAGCAGGUGGCAAUAUGUACUUUUCAUCUGAACUUCACAAAAGUUCUGUGCGGAAAACACAAACUCUUUUUAUUCAAAUAGAUGUUUCUACUUUGCAGAGCAUAUUCUGACUGGGAGCUAGCUUCAGGAAAAGAAUAUUGCUUUUCAGUUGGCCUCUUGCCUUGACUGAUGAGAUGUUAACAGCUCCUAAGAAGAAGAAAAUCCAUAUGCCAAAGACGACCGUGGGCUCAAUUUCCUACAGAGGAAGAGUGUUGGAUGAAGCAUGGAAGCAGGUUUAAAUGGGGCUAAUAAAAGAAGUCUCCACAGUUGUGCACAAAUAGUAUAAGAUGGGGUGCAAAACCUGUGCUCCCCCAGCUCUGGUUCAGUGACAAGAGGACAAUCACACAGGUGACAGAAGCGUGCCAGCAUGAUAUGAAGGAACAUUGGCUCUGGUCUACCGAGAGCUUUGUAAAUGCCUAGUGAUCUGCUUAGGGCAAGUCAUGUGCAAGCACCUGAGAACUUGCUACGCUUCAGGCAUCGGAACACAUCAAGUUCACUGCUGAACAUGGAUUUCAUCGACCAAUCAUUAUACUCCCUAAGUCAUGAGGUGAACAACUUUCAAAGACAUGAAGAAAACCCUGUAUAUAGGGGAAGAAAAGACUGGACUGUGCAGGGGAGAGGAAGCAUCCAAACGUUAAUGGCUAUUGAAACAUCCACUGGGACACAAGAACUCAGGGAGUUGACUGGGAGAUGCUCACACUUUGCAAGGUUAGGGGAAUUGACAGUCCUGCCCCCAAAGCAGCUGUUUCCUGCAAUGUUAACCGAAUCAUCGGAACCUCCCAGUUUUGGGGAGACAGGUUGGAAAGUUUGGAGGAAAGAUCUUUCUGCUGACAUCUCAGGCGCUUUCACUCUGGACUGCAGCUACAUCACUGACAAUUUUACUUCCACAGUUCUUGUGAUGGUCCCUGUUGGUAAGCACAAGAAAUGUCACCAUCCUCUGCAAGUUGAGAUGACUAUUUCAUAG
rnacentral:lncRNA from 1 species